GGCUUAUUGAUAAUAAUUUUAGGUCGAUCUGCCCAAUGAUUAAUAAUUAAAUGGCUGCAGUAUAUUUGACUGUACAAAGGUAGCAUAAUCAAUUGUUCUUUAAUUAAGAUCUAGAAUGAAAGAAUUAAUGAGAUAUAUACUGUCUCAUAUAUAUAAAAUGAAUUUAAAUUUUUGGUUAAAAUGCCAAAAUUAAUUUAUGGGACGAUAAGACCCUAUAGAAUUUUAUAUUGAUAUAAAAAUUAGACUUAUUAAUUUAAUUUUUAUAUUAAUAUUUGAUUGGGAGGAUUAGUAAAUUUAAUAAACUUUAUUUUAAAUUAAAACUUUGAUUUAAGAAUUUUUUAGAUCUUGUAUUAUAAAUAAAAAGAAAAAAUUACCUUAGGGAUAACAGCGUAAUAUCUUUUUAAAGGUCAUAUUAAUAAAGAUGUUUGCGACCUCGAUGUUGAAUUAAGAUAAAUUUUAGACGAAGAAGUUUAAUGAUUAAGUCUGUUCGACUUUUAAAAUCUU
rnacentral:rRNA from 1 species